UACGUAGGGGGCAAGCGUUGUUCGGAUUUACUGGGCGUAAAGGGCGCGUAGGCGGCUCGACAAGUCACUUGUGAAAUCUCCGGGCUUAACUCGGAACGGUCAAGUGAAACUGUCAUGCUAGAGUGCAGAAGGGGCAAUCGGAAUUCUUGGUGUAGCGGUGAAAUGCGUAGAUAUCAAGAGGAACACCUGAGGUGAAGACGGGUUGCUGGGCUGACACUGACGCUGAGGCGCGAAAGCCUGGGGAGCAAACGGG
rnacentral:rRNA from 1 species